rnacentral:sRNA from 1 species
CCAUCGUCUUCAGCAUAGUCCGGAAACUGCUGCUCUGGCCUGGGUUCUCAGAGGUACUUCACAGCUGGCUCAGAUCUGACUGGGCUUGUGCGCCUUGCCGAAGGCAGAAGAUAUACUGGUAGAAGCAAAGUGUGGAGAGAGGUUAGCUAACCACAAAAGAAUGGGCCUGACUCGAUAACCAGGAUAUUGGCUGGAGGAGAGAGUGAAACUAUGUCUUCUGGACAAGAUAUAGCUGCACGAGAUCAAGCCAAUUCAAACUCCAGCAUAGAUGGGAGAAGAGUAUCCUAAGGCCUACCCCAGCUGGUGGAAGUAUGCAGACGAUGGCUGCUGAGGAACAAAGAGUCACUUUUUGUUAGCGAUGUGGCUGCUGGCAGGUUGCCCAUUAACCUGCCCCCCAGUGAAUGUUCCCACACCCACACGCAUUGGUUAGUCUUGGCAUUAUUAAUAAUCACUAUAAAAGUAAAAACAAUAGCCCCCUUUUCUGGCCUCUGCAGGCUGUGCGUUCCAUGUCCAAAUACCCCCUCCUGUAUAUAUAAAUUAAAUGUAUUAAAGAUAAAAUCUUGGGCCGCAGAGAUGACACACUGACUGCAGUUCAGUUCCCAGCACCACAUCAAAAGGUUUACAGCUCUACAACUCCAAGGGAUUUGACAGCCUCUGACUCUGUGAGCACCUUCAUUCAUACACUUCCCUAUACACACAAUUCAUAAUUAUAAAUACUCAGUCUUUAAAGCUAAAAGUGUUUUUAAAAAAGACUAGAUUUGCUUACAGAGUAGUGUCAGCAUUUCAUCAGUGGUCGCGUGUCAGCACACAGAGCAAACCAUGAACAGGGGUGCUCUAAAACCAAUUAAAGCCACUACCACACCCCAUUAUUUAUAGAAAAGGACAAGCAGGAGUGACUUGUACUAAGACGUAAAGUUAAAAAUGAAUGAAAUUAAGGAGGUUGACAGGGAAUGGUAAGAAAAAGGGAAAACACUGCAAAGAUAAAAGGGCAUCUGGUGUUGUCGUAGUGUGAACAUAUCUUUUAUUUGCCUGAAUUGUCAUCUCCGAGGAUCAGUGCCUCUGUCUGCUACCCUAGACCUAGUCAUGAAAGCUUCUAGUCCCCAUACAACCUUAUCUAGGCCUAGAAUGUUUUCAGACUCAGAUUUCCUGCUGAAUAAGUUCACCCUUCCUAGCUCUUUCUGAGUCCUGGCUGGCUGAUUUAUCUCAGCUGUUCUGGUCCAACUCCUCUCCAAGCUGACUGGUUCAAUCUGUCCUCUCUGUGCUUUUCCUGCAUUGCUUUGUUUAGCCUCAAACUGAGAAAACUGAGUUAGCCAGAGUCAGGCUGACUCCAUGACAGGCUGCAAGUUGGCACUUUGGGAGACUAGGCCUAAGUUUGUUUCCCAGGAACCACUGGUCAGCCACCCCAGCGGCAGGCACUGAUCUUAGGAUUCGUGCCACCCAGAGCCCUAACAAGUAACAAAGACACCCUGAAGAUACAGCCAACAAAUCAAGAGAAAGUAAGUCACCCAUCCUACCCUAACAGGCUUUAAAUGACCCUACAAAGCAGAUACUCUGUCUCCAUUCUCCGGCAAGCAGAAGAUGCUGUUGAAUAAACACUUUGCCUUCUACAUA